CACAUAUUGAAUAUGCUGUGCAAUUUUGGGCACCUGUUCUAAAGAAGAAUAUUAUGGCACUAGAAAAAGUGCAAAGGCGGGCUACAAAAAUAAUAAAAGGAAUGGAGCAUAACAGCUAUGAAGAAAGGUUAACAAAUUUAAACCUAUUUAGUUUAGAAAAACGUUGCCUGAGAGAGGAUAUGAUAACAUUAUACAAAUAUAUUCGUGGCCAUUACAAACCAUUGUGUGGAAAUCUAUUCACAAACCGGACUUUACAUAGGACACAAGGUCAUGCGUUUAGACUGGAUGAAAAAAGAUUUUGUCUAAGGCAAAGCAAAAGUUUUUUUACUGUAAGAACAAUAAGGAUGUGGAAUUCUCUGCCUGAAGAAGUGGUUUUAUCAGAGUCCAUACAGAUGUUCAAACAGCUAUUAGAUGCAUACUUGCAAGAACAGAAUAUUCAAGGAUCUUUCAAUGUUACAAGAAUAAAUCUGACUGCCAAUCUGGGGUCAAGAAGGAAUUUUUGUUCCUAGCUUUUUGCAAAAUUGGAAGUACUUGAAACUGGGUUUUUUCCUUCUUUUGGAUCAACAGCAAAAAACAAAUAUGAGGAAGGCUGAACUUGAUGAACGCAAGUCUCUUUUCAGCUAUGUAACUAUGUAACUAUGUAUGUAAAGUACACUGUGCCGUUAAGAUUGUGCUCAUGCGGUUCCCAGAUGCUGGCAUUUCUGGCUUCCCAAAAUCUCUUUGCCAGUGUCCAUUUCUUUUAUAUCUGGCUAUAUGGGCGUGCAUUAGUCGAGAUAGGUGCUAUUAAAAGUCCAUAUGCAAAUAAAUCCCUGUCUGUCUCUAGGUCAGUGUAACAAAACGUGUCACAAAAACACCCCAGUUAACCAGUAUAAUGGCUGCCUAUAUAUAUGUGAACUCAGACUAUUUGUUGUUUUACCUUCUGACUAUGGCCCUGGGAUAUAUGGCAUUUAAAAACACUAUUUGUGCCCUGUGACAAAACUGGAGAUUGUGCACAAAUAUGACUAUUGUCCAUAUGUUUUAUGAUUCCCUUCGUUUGUUGCACUGUUCCCCAUGUGUUUUAUCUGUUGGUUCGGCUGGAUAGACUACCAGACAAACUGUGGAGUUACUGGGUGACCACCAUUUCAUGUAUCAGAGGCACAUGGUGAGAACAAUGGAUGAAGCACAUGGUGCUUUGACUUUUUUUACUUUUCUACACAGUGCCAUCUCGCCGGUAUUUGGUGCACAAAGACAUAGUUCAGUAGUUUUAAACUACAGAACAGGGGACACAUUAUAGAGUAAUUAUUUUGCAUAUAGCCUGUA